UGAGGCCAUAUGAAGAAAUUAAGACUCAGUAAAGGCAAAUAAAUGGGUAAUUAUAAAAGCUAGCAUUAUUGUAACUUUGGUUUAUAACUUUACUUUUGGCUUUCUACAUUAUUUAAGAGAUUAAUACAUUAAAUUUUUUCAGUCUAAAAGCUAGAAAUGUCAUAAAUUUGUUUUGUAACUUCACUUUCUGUUUUCUACCAAAAAUAUGUAUUUGAGACCGAAGCAUAAAAAAAAAACUAUAAUCUAUGUUUUGCACACAAUAUGUAAGAUGUAAUUUUAAUAACUGAAUGAGAGUGGGGCUAGAGAUGUAUAGGAACAAGGCUUUUGCAUGUUAUCAAAGUUAAACUGGUUUAAAUUCAAAUUAGAGUGUUCUACUUUAGAAUGUUAAAUGUAAUUUCCAUGGUAACCACAAAGAAAAUAGCAAUAAAGUAUACCUAACAGGAAAUGAGAAGAGAGUGAAAACAUUUCACUACAAAAUUCAACUAAACACAAAAGAAGACAGAAAUGCAGGGAAUAAGGGACAAGAAACACUAUAAGGCCUAUGGAAAACAAAUAGGAAAAUGACAGAAUGUAUGAACCUGAUUAGCUUCAACAUAUAAGAAGUUGGAAGCAGUGAAAAGGUUGAAAGCACACUGCUGUCACUUAGCCAGCUCAAGACUGAACGAUCCCUACUCACAUUGACUAUGGACUCCUUGGUUUGAGCCAUAUCCGAGAUAACACCAUCUGUCACAAUCAGGAGCACAAAAUACUGGGAACCAUCUUUUACGGAAGAAGCAUACCUAGAGCAAUAAAAAGAUAAAGAAUACCACAGAAAAUAAAACAGCUCCUUUGUAUGUGAUGGUUGCUAAAUAUAAUCACGAUAGUCAACAAACCUUUAAUCUCAAGAAAAUAUUUAAACUUGUAUUAGGAAUCUAUAUCAUGCAAGCUCUCAAUACAUUUUUCUGAAAUAGCACGUUAGAACACAGCAACAUUACUUCAUGCCAGCACACAGAAAAGCCUGCCUGUCUUGGAAAUUCACUCACUAAUAAAAGGUGAGAUGGAUGAGGGUAUGUUUAGCACAAAGGAAUGGAUAUAGCUUUCAGAAACAGAUACCCUGGCUAAGCAACAUAUUAUGUGUAUGAUCUUCAGUAAAUUACUUGAUCUAUCUAAACUUUAUUUUUUUACCUUUAAAAUCAAGACUAUACACCUCUGUAUUGUUAAUACAGAAACCGCAUGCAUGCU